AAAAAUACAAAAAACGAGAGCAUGGCGGCGGGCGAGCUUGAGGGCGGCAAGCCCCUGAACGGGCUGCUGAAUGCGCUAGCCCAGGACACUUUCCACGGGCACCCCGGCAUUACAGAGGAGCUGCUAUGGAGCCAGCUGUAUCCAGAGGUGCCACCCGAGGAGUUCCGCCCCUUUUUGGCAAAGAUGAGGGGGAUUCUUAAGUCUAUUGCGUCUGCAGACAUGGAUUUCAACCAGCUGGAAGCAUUCUUGACUGCUCAAACCAAAAAGCAAGGUGGGAUCACAUCUGACCAAGCUGCUGUCAUUUCCAAAUUCUGGAAGAGCCACAAGACAAAAAUCCGUGAGAGCCUCAUGAACCAGAGCCGCUGGAAUAGCGGGCUUCGGGGCCUGAGCUGGAGAGUUGAUGGCAAGUCUCAGUCAAGGCAUUCAGCUCAAAUACACACGCCUGUUGCCAUUAUAGAGCUGGAAUUAGGCAAAUAUGGACAGGGAUCUGAAUUGUGUUUGCAAUUCUUGAAGGUGGCAGAGGCCCUUCAAGCCACCUUGCUGGCCCACUGA